GUUAAAGGUAGCGAGAACCGUCCAGUGUUUACAGCUGGUUUCAGCAAUUUCAACUUGCGCAAGACCCGUGUUUGUGAAAGCAACUCAAGAAUCUUUGAACAGGAUGUAAUCAACCUCCGAUCUGCUGAGAAACACUGCAAAAAUGACUUCCCCUGCCAAAAAUAAUAAUGUCGUUUACAAGCAGCUCUUCCAUGUCUGAGGAAGAACUAGCCCCACGUGUGAGUUUAUGCCGGCUUCAGAGGAGCUAGCAAGGAAAAGGGCAAAUCCUACCAAUCCCAGGCUAAAAUACCGUAUCAGAACCUGAGGGAAGCUGUGGCCCAUUCCAAAGGUGAUGGCAACAUCCAGGAAGAUUCAUAUCCACAAAAAUCCAAACGUCUUUUCAUCCUGCAUGUGAAAUUUCAACCGUGAUGGAUGGAGAGUCUCGGGUCCAAAAUCUCACCAAGUUUCUUAUCCACAGAUACAGGCCUAGAGAGAGCCAAUAACCACAUGGAAUACAAACAGGAAUGAAAUAAUGUUCUUGAUCUCAAUGAGAUUGAAAUUCACUUGCUUCUUCACCCAGUCCUUCUCAACCAGCAUUCUCAUUAGACAACCUCAGAAAAAGAAAAAAGAAGAAGGAGAAGAAAAAAAAAAAAAAACCACUUAUUUUAGAACCUUGGGA